rnacentral:snRNA from 1 species
AUAUUAUAAAUGCCCGUGGAGCAAUAACCUUCAUCACACUUGGAAGGGGUGUUGUUUUAAUGUUUUUCCAAGUGACAGAGUCUACAUCAAAAUUUGUGGUAGUGGAGGCCAACGUUCGCACAGCCUCUAC